UGGGGAAUAUUGCACAAUGGGCGCAAGCCUGAUGCAGCAACGCCGCGUGAGGGACGACGGCCUUCGGGUUGUAAACCUCUUUUGGCAGGGAAGAAGCGAAAGUGACGGUACCUGCAGAAAAAGCACCGGCUAACUACGUGCCAGCAGCCGCGGUGAUACGUAGGGUGCAAGCGUUGUCCGGAAUUAUUGGGCGUAAAGAGCUCGUAGGCGGUGUGUCGCGUCUGCUGUGAAAACCCGAGGCGCAUCCUCGGGCCUGCAGUGGGUACGGGCAAAGUAGAGGGCGGUAUGGGAGAUGGUAAUUCCUGGUGGAGCGGUGGAAUGCGCAGAUAGCAGGAGGAACACCGAUGGCGAAGGCAGAUCUCGGGGCCGUAGCUGACGCUGAGGAGCGAAAGCAUGGGGAGCGAAC
rnacentral:rRNA from 1 species